UACGAAGGGGGCUAGCGUUGCUCGGAAUCACUGGGCGUAAAGCGCCCGUCGGCGGCUUUUUCAGUCAGGGGUGAAAUCCCGGGGCUCAACCCCGGAACUGCCUUUGAUACUGGGUAUCUCGAGUCCGAGAGAGGUGAGUGGAAUUCCGAGUGUAGAGGUGAAAUUCGUAGAUAUUCGGAGGAACACCAGUGGCGAAGGCGGCUCACUGGCUCGGUACUGACGCUGAGGUGCGAAAGCGUGGGGAGCAAACAGG
rnacentral:rRNA from 1 species